rnacentral:lncRNA from 1 species
UUACCAAAAAGUCCAACAAAUUUUCCUCCUUUAAUUAAAGUUUUUUUUUUUGAGAGAUAGGUAGCACACUAUUCGCUUCGUUUAUUUUAUUUAGAAAUAAAUUUAACUGAAAAUGUGAAUCAAUUAGAAUUCGAAUUUAGGAUCUCGGGUACCAAUCACCAAACCCUUUGCCAACUGCAGUUUUAUUUGCACAUAUAGCAUAUAUAAUAUUAUACAACUAUAAAAUGCAAAAACAAAAAUUCCAAAAAAUAGAAUGAAUUAUUUAUUAAUUUUUAUUAUUAUUAUUUUGAGAUUGGUAGGACGCUAUCCGCUUCGUUUAUUUCAUUUAGAAAUAAACUUAGCUGGAAAUGUGAAUUAAUUAGGAUUCGAACUUGGGUCUCGGGUACCAACUCUCAAAUCCUUUGCCACUUGCUCUAGAAACUGUCGGUAUUACUUUUUAUAUAUUAAAUUAAAAAAUUGAUAUUUUUAAAGUUUUGCAAGAUUAUGUGUAUAAUUAGUACGUUCGUUUGACCGAAAAAAUUUAUUAAACUAUUCAAUAAAAUUCAAGAGAUUUAAUUAUCCAAAUUAAAAGUUCUGACACCUAUUUAUAAAAAUACAAAAUAAUAAUAAUUU